ACGUGAGAUAGAGGUUGCAGCGCUUAUAAGUAUUCUAAAGGAGACAAAGAGAUGUCGAUGAAUUUAGAAAAAAGGAAGUGUUGCCGAAAUUAAUAAAUUUCUCUGCAUUUAUUAAUUGGGGCUGUUUUCGAAUAGAAACAGAACUGUCAUAUGUACAGACGUGUACAUAUGAAGAGCUAUCUACAAA
rnacentral:ncRNA from 1 species